rnacentral:rRNA from 1 species
AGAGUUUGAUCCUGGCUCAGAUUGAACGCUGGCGGCAGGCUUAACACAUGCAAGUCGAGCGGUAACAGGGGGAGCUUGCUCCCUGCUGACGAGCGGCGGACGGGUGAGUAAUGCAUAGGAAUCUGCCCGGUAGUGGGGGAUAACCUGGGGAAACCCAGGCUAAUACCGCAUACGCCCUACGGGGGAAAGCAGGGGCUCUUCGGACCUUGCGCUAUUGGAUGAGCCUAUGUCGGAUUAGCUAGUUGGUAGGGUAAAGGCCUACCAAGGCGACGAUCCGUAGCUGGUCUGAGAGGAUGAUCAGCCACAUCGGGACUGAGACACGGCCCGAACUCCUACGGGAGGCAGCAGUGGGGAAUAUUGGACAAUGGGGGCAACCCUGAUCCAGCCAUGCCGCGUGUGUGAAGAAGGCCUUCGGGUUGUAAAGCACUUUCAGCGAGGAAGAAGGCCUGGUGGCCAAUACCCACCAGGAAGGACAUCACUCGCAGAAGAAGCACCGGCUAACUCCGUGCCAGCAGCCGCGGUAAUACGGAGGGUGCGAGCGUUAAUCGGAAUUACUGGGCGUAAAGCGCGCGUAGGUGGCUUGAUAAGCCGGUUGUGAAAGCCCUGGGCUCAACCUGGGAACGGCAUCCGGAACUGUCAGGCUAGAGUGCAGGAGAGGAAGGUAGAAUUCCCGGUGUAGCGGUGAAAUGCGUAGAGAUCGGGAGGAAUACCAGUGGCGAAGGCGGCCUUCUGGACUGACACUGACACUGAGGUGCGAAAGCGUGGGUAGCAAACAGGAUUAGAUACCCUGGUAGUCCACGCCGUAAACGAUGUCGACUAGCCGUUGGGUCCCUCGCGGACUUUGUGGCGCAGUUAACGCGAUAAGUCGACCGCCUGGGGAGUACGGCCGCAAGGUUAAAACUCAAAGGAAUUGACGG